UCUUCUGAGACUGCACCAUCAUUUAAAGCAGCAAGAGCUGCCUCAAUUUCCUUUUCAAUUAGCGAGCCAAACAUGCUGAAAAGAAAAGCCAAAUAAGCAAACCAUAGAACAAUUCCUAUCGAACAAUUUUAAGGUAUAAACGCAUGGUGUAGACAUUUGGCUACAUACACAAAAACCAAGUCGAAGGUACAUUCGGGAUAGAUUACCAAAAAAAUAAGUUAUAAUAAUGAAUUCUUACAUUGUUUCUAACACGUAUGUAUUUUUUUCCAAUCGUUUUAGCAAUUAAUUCUCACUGAAUCCGAAAAUCAAAUACCACAAAUUUUAACACUACCAAUUUUUUCUCCUUCGCGAUCGCUACGUCAAAUAUCGGUUAAUUUUUUUUCAAAUCUACCUCCAUUUGCGGUUUUUUUAUUUUUAUUUGGAUGUUUUCUAUGAUAUUAGCGUACAUUCAGAAACGCUUGUAAAAUGUGUUACUUGCUAUAAUUAAAAAAGUACUUCGUAGACAUAUGGCAACACUAUGCAUUUAAGGGUUAAAGCAAAAAAACAAAAUGAGUCGCUCUCAUUUACUAUUUCGUUAUUUACUCUUUAGUUACGAUUUAUUUCUACUUUCCCAUGGUUUCUGAACAAUUCCGUAUUUAUUUUACACGGACAACAAUAGCUGCACUCUGAAUGGCUGUUGGCCUGACGUCUCCGCCAUUACAUCUAUCGCGAAAAUUAGUGAAAACGUGUGUGUUUUGUGGGAUUACUUUUUCGUAACAGGCAGUAAAAUCAGCGAUUUUAUAUAGAACGGAAUGCCGCCAAAAACCAAUGCCAAAAGGCAAAAAGCUUACAGAGAACGACUCAAAAUGGAUAAACAUGAUGGAACAAAAAUAAUUUUAUUAAAAUAGUAUGAAUGAUUA